AAUUGGUUGAAGUGCUUUUAUUAGAACAAAAACCGAACGGCGUUUGGCGAAUGUUGAACGUCGAAACUGUUUGGUGAAUCUGAAUAACUAUUUCUGAUCGCAUGGUCUAGCACCGGCGACAUCACUUUCAAGUGUCUGCCUUAUCAACCUUCGAUGGUAGUCUAUGCGACUACCAUGGUGAUAACGGGUAACGGAGAAUCAGGGUUCGACUCCGGAGAGGGAGCCUGAGAAACGGCUACCACAUCCAAGGAAGGCAGCAGGCGCGCAAAUUACCCACUCCCAGCUUGGGGAGGUAGUGACGAAAAAUAACGAGACGAUUCUCGUUUGAGAAACGUUAUCGAAAUGAGUACGCUUUACACACGCUAACGAGUAGCAAUUGGAGGGCAAGUCUGGUGCCAGCAGCCGCGGUAAUUCCAGCUCCAAUAGCGUAUAUUAAAGUUGCUGCGGUUAAAACGCUCGUAGUUGAAUUGUGGUCUUAGACAACAGUCCCCCUACAUAGGUGUGGCACGGUUGCUCGAGAUCUUCAUUCGUGGUUGCUGUUGUUGCUCUUCAUUGAGUGUCAAUGGUGCCUCGAGAUUUUACUUUGAAAAAAUUAGAGUGCUCAAAGCAGGUUGUGAUGCCUGAAUAAUGGUGCAUGGAAUAAUAGAAUACGAUCUCGGUUCUAUUUUGUUGGUUUUCGAACCGGAGAUAAUGAUUGAAAGGAACAGACGGGGGCAUUCGUAUUGCUGCGUUAGAGGUGAAAUUCUUGGAUCGCAGCAAGAUGAACAAUUGCGAAAGCAUUUGCCAAGAAUGUUUUCAUUAAUCAAGAACGAAAGUUAGAGGUUCGAAGGCGAUCAGAUACCGCCCUAGUUCUAACGGUAAACUAUGCCAACCAGCGAUUCGCCGAAGUUCAUUUAAGACUCGGCGAGCAGCUUCCGGGAAACCAAAGUGUUUCGGUUCCGGGGGAAGUAUGGUUGCAAAGCUGAAACUUAAAGGAAUUGACGGAAGGGCACCACCAGGAGUGGAGCCUGCGGCUUAAUUUGACUCAACACGGGAAAACUCACCCGGCCCGGACACUGGAAGGAUUGACAGAUUGACAGCUCUUUCUUGAUUCAGUGGGUAGUGGUGCAUGGCCGUUCUUAGUUGGUGGAGCGAUUUGUCUGGUUAAUUCCGAUAACGAACGAGACUCUACCCUAUUAAAUAGUGACAGUAUUGUAUUUUUUGUGCUGAUCACUUCUUAGAGGGACUGGCAAAUUGAAAGCUGCACGAAAAAGAGCAAUAACAGGUCUGUGAUGCCCUUCGAUGUCCGGGGCUGCACGCGCGCUACAAUGAAAGCGUCAACGUGAGUUACGUCCUUACCUGAAAAGGUUUGGCAAUCGAAUGAAACGUUUUCUUGAAUGGAAUAGGGAAUUGCAAUUGUUUCCCUUGAACGAGGAAUUCCCAGUAAGCGUGAGUCAUUAGCUCGCGUUGAUUACGUCCCUGCCCUUUGUACACACCGCCCGUCGCUACUACCGAUUGGAUGAUUUAGUGAGGUGUUUUGACUGGCGCCAGUAGUCGGAUGUAUUCGGCUUCGCGCCGGGAAAUUUCCCAAACCAAAUCAUCUAGAGGAAGUAAAAGUCGUAACAAGGUUUCCGUAGGUGAACCUGCGGAAG
rnacentral:rRNA from 1 species